rnacentral:rRNA from 1 species
GGAAUUUUCCGCAAUGGGCGAAAGCCUGACGGAGCAAUACCGCGUGAGGGAGGAAGGCUUUUGGGUUGUAAACCUCUUUUAUUAAGGAAGAAGAAAGUGACGGUACUUGAAGAAUCAGCAUCGGCUAACUCCGUGCCAGCAGCCGCGGUAAUACGGAGGAUGCAAGCGUUAUCCGGAAUCAUUGGGCGUAAAGCGUCCGCAGGUGGUUGUUCAAGUCUGCUGUCAAAGACAGAAGCUCAACUUCUGAGCGGCAGUGGAAACUGGGCAACUAGAGUACGGUAGGGGUUGAGGGAAUUCCCAGUGUAGCGGUGAAAUGCGUAGAUAUUGGGAAGAACACCAGUGGCGAAGGCGCUCAACUGGGCCGUAACUGACACUCAGGGACGAAAGCUAGGGUAGCGAAAGGGAUUAGAUACCCCAGUAGUC